GACGAACGCUGGCGGCGUGCUUAACACAUGCAAGUCGAACGGAAAGGCCCUGCUUUUGUGGGGUGCUCGAGUGGCGAACGGGUGAGUAACACGUGAGUAACCUGCCCUUGACUUUGGGAUAACUUCAGGAAACUGGGGCUAAUACCGGAUAGGAGCUCCUGCUGCAUGGUGGGGGUUGGAAAGUUACGGCGGUUGGGGAUGGACUGGCGGCUGAUCAGCUUGUUGGUGGGGAAGUGGCUUACCAAGGCUUUGACGGGUAGCCGGCCGGAGGGGGUGACCGGGCAGAUUGGGACUGAGAUACGGCCCAGACUCCUACGGGAGGCAGAGGUGGGGAAGAUUGCACAAUGGGCGGAAGCCUGAUGCAGCAACGCCGCGUGCGGGAUGACGGCCUUCGGGUUGUAAACCGCUUUCGCCUGUGACGAGGCGUGAGUGACGGUAAUGGGUAAAGAAGCAACGGCUAACUACGUG
rnacentral:rRNA from 1 species